GGCUGCAGGACAUCCAACAUCCAGCACCACAUCCAGCCCUCCGGCUCCCUCCAGGGCAACACAGGCUGCAGGACAUCCAACAUCCAGCACCACAUCCAGCCCUCCGGCUCCCUCCAGGGCAACACAGGCAGAAGACUUAAGAAGGAUCCGUUCGGAAUUUGUGCAGAGAGUUUCCAACCCAGUUAUCCAAUGUCUCCUGGAUGACCUUUUUGAGCAUGGAGUGUUCAGUACUGAGGAAGUGUCUGUGACUCAGGGCCACACAAACAAAGAAAACCGGGCACGUUUUUUGAUCAACACGGUGUGGGAUAAAGGGGAGGAAUCAAGUCGGAUAAUGAUCACUUGCAUGCGGAAGAGGGACAGAUACUUAUGCAAUGAACUGAGGCUGAUCGAUCCUGAUGAUAUGGAUCUGAGGUGACCUGAGGAGGAUAAACUGGCUUCAUUCUUGAGGAAUGAAGAAAGCCCCAACAUUGUAUUCACUACGUGUCCUCGAUAAGAGACAUGAAAUAAAAGAUAGAAAUAAAACAUUUUAUAAAUA